GACGUAGGAUGCAAGUGUUAUCCGGAAUCACUGGGCGUAAAGCGUCUGUAGGUGGUUUAAAAAGUCCACUGUUAAAGAUUGAAGCUUAACUUCAAAAAUGCCGUGGAAACUUUUAAACUUGAGUAUGAUAGGGGUAGAGGGAAUUUCCAGUGGAGCGGUGAAAUGCGUAGAUAUUGGAAAGACCACCAAUGGCGAAGGCACUCUACUGGGCAAUUAAUGACAAUGAGAGAGGAAAGCUAGGGGAGAAAAUGGG
rnacentral:rRNA from 1 species